ACAAAGAUGUUGAACAGAGAUAGCUCCAACACUGACCCGUGAGGAACACCACUCAACUCUGGUCUCCACCUGGACAUUGAGCCACUGAUCAUAACUCUUUGAGUGUGACCAUCCAGCCACUUCCUUAUUCACCAAGUGGUCCGUCUGUCAAAUCCAUGCCUCUCCAGUCAGAGACAAGGAUGUUGUGUUGGACAGUGUCAAAUGCCUUGCACAUGUCCAGAUAGAUGGAUGUUAGGGGACAUGUCUGUCUAGCUGAGGACAGUGCCUCUGAGAGCCACAAGUAUCUGCUGAUUUCUAGCCUACAUGCAGCUGCCUUUAGGUCUAAAAUAACUGAUUUGAACAUUCAUGGAUAAGGUGCUUGGUAUUAUCAGAAGCAAUAGAUCAGAGACACAAGUGGUGAAGAUGAUGAAUUGGAGAAUGAAAUUAGUAUGUCAAACAUUAAAGUUAUACUUCUUUUUAAUAUAAAUUAGGAGAGCUUUGGUCAGCCUAGAUAAAAAUAUUUUUCUGCCCUAGAGGUUCAUACUAUUUAGUAGUCUCCUGAAGGUGCCUGUGUAAGCAGCAAGAGUGAAAAAUUUAGGCAUGUAAGACACAUCAAUACUCCUGAGAAGUUCUGUUUCUGAUACUGACAAUAUGUUGUCUUUAAUACAUAUAAGGUGGCUUGAACUAAGAUUUUCCUAUUUUGAAAAAUUUGUCAACCAGAAAUGUCAUUUGGCAUGAAGGGUUUGGGAAGGGAAGAGCAAUUAAAUGACACAGCAGCCCUGAGGAGGACUUGAGGGUGUUGGUUGGUGAGAAGCUCCCCAUGACCUGGCAGUGUGUGCUUGCAGCCCAGAAACCAACCAUGUCCUGUGCUGCAUGACCAACAGGUCAAGGGAGAGGAUUCUUCCCUUCUACUCCACUCUGCUACAGAAGCAGAGAAACCUGAUUAACAAUGUUUCUUCCACUCACAAGUGACCAGCACCAAAAAAACUCAAGGUUAACUCUCCUGUCGUAACAGAAGAUGUGAUGAACGCUCUAUAUCACAUCUUCAUUCCUGCACAUGUGGAUCCUUUAAAGAAGAAUUAUGCCACUUUCCCCAGAAUAGCAGAAAUUUCUGUGAGAUAUAUUUGGAAAAAUGUAUAUUGGAAAGAGUAAUAUUAUUUAAAGAAAUUGUU